AUGCUAACAGCGCUUCAAGAGGAAAUUGGUGGCAGGGCUCGCUCUAUUACUAAUACCUUGCCCUCAAUAUAAAGCAAAGUCACCAUCUAGAUAUACAGAAUGGUGAUCAACUUUUAUCUUAUAUUAUU